GUGUGUGUCUGUGUGUGUCUGUGUGUGUGUGUGUUCUUCAGCUCAGUGUGACGUCAGGAGUCCCUGCAGUUCUCUGGCCAAGACUCUACACUCCACUCCGCUCCCCGCUCGUCGCCUGGAGCCUAAACUUCUCUCCGAGUCGAGUCUGGAGCCGAAGGACCUGCAGCUGCCCGCGGAGCCUCAGAGUCCUGCGCUGGUGAAGCCUCCCCCCUCCCCUCCCCCCUUCACCACCCCCCCUCCAGACGACCGCUCCCCUCUGCCAACUUCAGCGCCCUGCACACGGUGUUUAAGGUGAACCCCACACUGCCCCCUACAGACUUCUCUAAGGCGCCGCAGGAGCUCGGGGCUGGAGUGAGCAGCAUCAGCACACAGACGCCCCCGGAGUUCGCCCCCCCGGAGGACGACAUGGUUUAUGAUUACAGCAGCGGCAGCUUCCUGUCUCCCAGCCAAUCAGGAGGAAGAGCCGCCCCCAGCCGGCGGCGUGUGCGAGGUAC